GACGAACGCUGGCGGCGUGCUUAACACAUGCAAGUCGAACGGAAAGGCCCUGCUUUUGUGGGGUGCUCGAGUGGCGAACGGGUGAGUAAAACGUGAGUAACCUGCACUUGACUUAGGGAUAACUUCAGGAAACUGGGGCUAAUAUCGGAUAGGAGCUCCUGAUGCAUGGUGGGGGUUGGAAAGUUUCGGCGGUUGGGGAUGGACUCGCGGCUUAUCAGCUUGUUUGUGGGGUAGUGGCUUACCAAGGCUUGGACGGGUAGCCGGCCUGAGAGGGUGACCGGCCACAUUGGGACUGAGAUACGGCCCAGACUCCUACGGGAGGCAGCAGUGGGGAAUAUUGCACAAUGGGCGGAAGCCUGAUGCAGCAACGCCGCGUGCGGGAUGACGGCCUUCGGGUUGUAAACCGCUUUCGCCUGUGACGAAGCGUGAGUGACGGUAAUGGGUAAAGAAGCACCGGCUAACUACGUG
rnacentral:rRNA from 1 species